GGCGCCUAAACAGCAGACUCGUAAGUAACACAAAGAACUUGCUCCUUGGGGGACGAGUGGCGGAACGGGUGAAGUAAAGUCUGGGAAAAUGCCCGAUGGAGGGGGAAAACUACUGGAAACGGUAGCUAAUACCGCAUAACGUCGCAAGACCAAAGAGGGGGACCUUCGGGCCUCUUGCCAUCGGAUGUGCCCAGAUGGGAUUAGCUAGUAGGUGGGGUAACGGCUCACCUAGGCGACGAUCCCUAGCUGGGCCUGAGAAGGAGGACCAGCCACACUGGAACUGAGACACGGUCCAGACUCCUACGGGAGGCAGCAGUGGGGAAUAUUGCACAAUGGGCGCAAGCCUGAUGCAGCCAUGCCGCGUGUAUGAAGAAGGCCUUCGGGUUGUAAAGUACUUUCAGCGAGGAGGAAGGCGUUGUGGUUAAUAACCGCAACGAUUGACGUUACUCGCAGAAGAAGCACCGGCUAACUCCGUGCCAGCAGCCGCGGUAAUACGGAGGGUGCAAGCGUUAAUCGGAAUUACUGGGCGUAAAGCGCACGCAGGCGGUCUGUCAAGUCGGAUGUGAAAUCCCCGGGCUCAACCUGGGAACUGCAUCCGAAACUGGCAGGCUAGAGUCUUGUAGAGGGGGGUAGAAUUCCAGGUGUAGCGGUGAAAUGCGUAGAGAUCUGGAGGAAUACCGGUGGCGAAGGCGGCCCCCUGGACAAAGACUGACGCUCAGGUGCGAAAGCGUGGGGAGCAAACAGGAUAG
rnacentral:rRNA from 1 species